AGAGAAAAAAAAGAUCGGCAACUAGAAUUGAAGAGAGCACUUUCUUGACCACAUUUUUUAUAUAUUAUUUGAUAAAUUAGAGUUCGGAUAAAGAAGUUAUAGAGGGUUGAAGUCAUCACAUUCAAAUCAAGGGCAGUAAGUAAGUGAUUUUAUUCAUAGUAAUGGUUGGAGCCAUAUCUUGAGUUUUUGGACGAAUUUUUGGCUCAAACCUUUUAGAUAAGGUAGAUUAUUGUGUUAAAAAGCUAUAUACACAAAUUUUAUGGAAUUUGAAUACUUAAUUUGUGAGAUAUAAAGAAAUUUGCACGUGGGUGUAUAAAAACUAGGGUUUGAAGCUACUGUUAGGAUUUUGGUCAUA
rnacentral:lncRNA from 1 species